AGUUGUAGAGCGCGUCGAUACGAGUUCGUGGACAUAUGGAACGCAAUAUUCGGAGUUCGUAUGAAUAAGUUACGAAUAUUUGAAAAUUGGGAUUUUCUAUAAAUAUGAAAAAAAAUCCGAAUAUUGCAAAUGAGGACAGAAUUUCUGGAACUCCAGAAAUUUCUCCCCAUUUCUCUCCCGAGCCCAGCCGCGACCCCCUCCCUUCGUCACCUUCGUUCUUCCUCAUCCGGCCACCGAUUGAUGUGAAACAAAGUGGGGUUUUCUGGUCUCGACCCCCUUUACGAGUUUGUAGAAGAAAUCGAAGUGAAAUACGAGCUGUAUGAGGCUCUACAAGGUCGAGAAGAGAGCCUCGUCGGAGACGAAAUCGCUCUUCCCCACUUUUUCUGGGCUCUACUUUGUCUGGUCAUAUCUUCCUCUACAGGCCUCCGAUCGACCUGAUUCCAAAAGCAAUUUUUCUCACCGUGAAGUUUUCUACAACUUUCCAGAAGACAUCGACUUGAGAUAACCAUCGUGGUGGCCGCUAGAAGACCGAGAAGCCGCACAGCCCGAGCUGGAAAUCGUCUUCCUUCGCCACCUUGGUUCUCCCAGCUCCGGCCACUAUAGCUCGAGUUCUUUGAGGUCUUUUCUAGUCCAGAGGAAGUAGAAGCUAUCCCCAAGAAGGCUUGCAGCGAUUUGAUCCGGGGUGAUCGAAUUUUGAAGAUUGGGAAACUAGGGUUCUUCGGGUUUCAAAACUUGCGAGGUGAUUGACGAAUCGAGUUGGUGGACGAUUCAGAUGGAUAUGUGGCUUUUAGAAGACGCAGCUGGAAUUGGAGCGGGUAAUCCUACAGGACAGGAGAACCAGGACGGUGAUCGUGCGGUUAAAGCAAUUGUUAGAGUUUUACAGCAAUUGUAAGUUGCGAGGUGUGUUAUGCUCAUUUGAGCUUUACAAUAUUACUUGUGAGAGUGAAUUGUAAUAAUGAACUCGAAGUUUCGAGAUUUGGAUUUUGUAAUUGUAAUUAUUCAUGUUUCGGAUUUGAAUUUAUUAUUCAAAAUUCGGGGC